UCCUCUCCACACGUGUGGUUGGACUUUGGGAGGAGUAACUCCACCUUGCCCUGGCACCGGAACCCCCAGAAGGGGGCUGGGAAGCUACGAGGAAGGCGAAUGUCCUCGUUUGAGCGUGUUACGGCUCGUGACGUGGUGCAGGUCACUCUCCUUGAGUUCGGGCAGGUUGGCGUGUCGUCGGCCGGCCGUAAAGGUUCUUUACUUGUAGAUGUGAAUGCGCAAAGGUGCCCCGCUGCGCCCUCAGGCUCGGUUUCCAGACCUACCUUUACUCGAGCAGUUAGUUGAGGAAGAAAAUAACGUAAAAUGUUUAGACCUCACUUUUGGAACAAAAGCCGGCCUCAGGGCUCAGCACGAGGGGGCUCCCUGUCCGGGUGGCUCAGGGGAGUCUCGGCAGAGAUGGGCUUCGCCGCGGAGCUCAAACCCCUCGAGCUAUCCCGUGACUCGGGAAGAGUGACUUGGUUUUUCCGUGUGUGCAAGGGGGUGUUCGUUCCCUCCCUGGUGGAGGGGGCUGAAGAGCCUCCACCGAUAUUGUCAGCCUGAGUCCAGCGGGAGAGGUGUCACGUUGACCUGGACAUCACACUUAACACGAAUUGGUAGGCACUUUAUUCGUUGAUUCCAAGUUGAGGACGUAUAAUGGAUGAUGGCAACGGGCCGGUCGGGUCGCCGGUGUCCGGUGUCCGGGUUACAACGUCCCCUCCCUGGCCGGGCCAGUAACGUCUGCUCGUCUGCUCGGAGGAGACGGGCAAGUAGAAAGGUCACCUCUCUGUGCCGCUGACCUCAGUUACCUCGGUGGCUGCCGGCUUCUCUCCUGUUCUCCGUCUCCCUCCACCUCCCUCCCCUGCUUCCCUCCCUCCUGUUGUCCCACCUGCCGUGGCUCCUUCUCCGCUUUCAUUCUCUAGGAUCCAUUUAGGAAAAGUAAUUACAAUCGCACCAGUCGCUGGAGCCAGGGCUUCUCCGAGAUCCCCGGACCACGGUGUGAGGACCACGCAGACGGGGCCCCUGGGGCCUCUGGUCUUCACGGGGACGGACCGCAGCAGGCGCUGGUAGCGGGUGCAAAUCCCGAGCGUCUGGCCGGCCUCCGGCUGGAGGCGCUCACCUCCCCUCCCCACUGCAGGACUGCUGACCUUCGGGGGCUCCCCGGGGUCUGCUGGAGGAUGGCCAUGAGGGGAGGGAGCUGGCCGGCCCGCCGCCCUCUGCACUGGGGCUCACCCUGUGGCUCCAUGGGACGAGGCCGAGGGCGCCCCCGGCUGCGGAGCCGUCGGGCCUGGCCUGAGGCCCUUACCCCGGGUGCACGUGGGUCCCCCCUGCCCCCCCACUCCCUCCUCUACUUCCUUAGGGGCAGAGCCUGGCCUGAUGUCUGGGGAAGCAGCAGAAUUGCUGCGGCCGGCCAGGAAGGCCCGAGAGUAAGAUGCUGCAGUGAAGAAGGCCACACGGAAGCCUCUGAAGCUUUCCCAUUGUGAUCAAGAGGGUAGAUGGAAAACAACACCACAUCUUAACCCUGCAAGGGUCGUGGUCUCCAUCACGUCCUCAUCUAAUUCGCCAUUCUUCCUUGGUCAAAACCAGAGAUCCUGGUUAUCGAGAGUGGACCAACCACCAUCAGGUCAGCUAAUUAUCUGACGCUCCUACCGCCGCUACUGAGCAUCUGAACUUGUAGCAAGAGAAAUCAAGACCGAGGCCUCAAUACAACACCCUUCCCUGCAGAGACCAACUAGUUACUUGUCAGCAACUUGACUACCGGGAUCCUUUUGGAUGUGAAAAGUGACACUGAUGUAUCUUGGCCGGAACUGGGACCUAUUCGAGAAAUCGAGAAAUGACUUUCCCUCUUCUGCCCACAGGGAGUUCGCCAGCACGACCCUCUAUGAGUUUAUGAGAUUAUGUGAUAAACGGAUGUGCAGUCCUGAAUAAUGUUACCCUGGACCAAGUAUCCCAGUGGAUAGCAAGAGAGGAGCUACGGUGGGCCCAAGUCCUUCAGUUAAUGCAAAUGCUUUAUACUUUAGUGCGGUACCAGUAGUUUGUUUUUGCUUUUGUUUUGCUUGCCUGAGAAGACGCAUCUGGAAAAAUGUUUCUAUGGCUGAUGUCAAAGAAAUUACUGCCUAGGUUUCCUUCUAGGGGUUUUC